UCUUGCAGAGACUUUCGAGAACUUUAGAAGUAUUGAUGACAAGGCUACACUCUAUCUUAAACUCUGGAACAGUCCUGGAACAAUCUUCAUCUUCCUUAUCUCCAAGCGCAGUGCAUUGUUUGAUCUACUUGAGUCCUUCCUGACUACUAAAUCUCCGGAAGGUCUUCGUGCAAGUCAACUUGCAUGUAGGGUUGUGUUAUUUUUUCAGAACAGUGGUGGCUGUUCAGGAAAGCAACCCUUGCAUCAUCCACGGAGCUAGAAGCUUUGGU